rnacentral:rRNA from 1 species
UACGGGGGGGAGCAAGCGUUUGUUCGGGUAUUUACGUGGGCGAGAAAGGGCGCGUAGGCGGUCGUGACAAGUCACUUGUGAAAUCUCCGGGGCUUAACUCGGAACGGUCAAGUGAUACUGUCGUGCUAGAGUACAGAAGGGGCAACUGGAAUUCUCGGUGUAGCGGUGAAAUGCGUAGAUAUCGAGAGGAACACCUGCGGCGAAGGCGGGUUGCUGGGCUGAUACUGACGCUGAGGCGCGAAAGCUAGGGGAGCGAACGGG